rnacentral:rRNA from 1 species
UACGUAGGGUGCGAGCGUUAAUCGGAAUACUGGCGUAAGGCGUGACGCAGGCGGUGAUGUAAGACAGAUGUGAAAUCCCCGGGCUCAACCUGGGAACUGCAUUUGUGACUGCAUCGCUGGAGUGCGGCAGAGGGGGAUGGAAUUCCGCGUGUAGCAGUGAAAUGCGUAGAUAUGCGGAGGAACACCGAUGGCGAAGGCAAUCCCUG